AUUGAACGCUGGCGGCAUGCCUUACACAUGCAAGUCGAACGGUAACAGGUCUUCGGAUGCUGACGAGUGGCGAACGGGUGAGUAAUACAUCGGAACGUGCCCGAGAGUGGGGGAUAACGAGGCGAAAGCUUUGCUAAUACCGCAUACGAUCUCAGGAUGAAAGCAGGGGACCGCAAGGCCUUGCGCUCAUGGAGCGGCCGAUGGCAGAUUAGGUAGUUGGUGGGAUAAAAGCUUACCAAGCCGACGAUCUGUAGCUGGUCUGAGAGGACGACCAGCCACACUGGGACUGAGAAACGGCCCAGACUCCUACGGGAGGCAGCAGUGGGGAAUUUUGGACAAUGGGCGCAAGCCUGAUCCAGCCAUGCCGCGUGCAGGAUGAAGGCCUUCGGGUUGUAAACUGCUUUUGUACGGAACGAAAAGACUCCUUCUAAUAAAGGGGGUCCAUGACGGUACCGUAAGAAUAAGCACCGGCUAACUACGUGCCAGCCGCCGCGGUAAAAC
rnacentral:rRNA from 1 species